UACGGGGGGGGCAAGCGUUGUUCGGAAUUACUGGGCGUAAAGGGCUCGUAGGCGGCCAACUAAGUCAGACGUGAAAUCCCUCGGCUUAACCGGGGAACUGCGUCUGAUACUGGAUGGCUAGAGUUUGGGAGAGGGAUGCGGAAUUCCAGGUGUAGCGGUGAAAUGCGUAGAUAUCUGGAGGAACACCGGUGGCGAAGGCGGCAUCCUGGACCAACACUGACGCUGAACGGCGAAAGCUAGGGGAGCAAACGGG
rnacentral:rRNA from 1 species